UGAAAGUGGAAUACUAAUACCAGUCUCAAAAUCUGUUGAGCUGCCUAUGUAGGCAGUAUUAUAAGCUGACAUAGGCAUGCUACUGAAGUGAACAGUGUUUCAGAAGCUUUGUAAGAUACCUUCACUUGUCAAAACUCAGUGGCUUAUUUCAGAAAAGUAAGCAUUACGAAACUGAAUGUUACAUUUGCGAUAUAACUCUGCUGUUAUUAUUGGGACAUUAGCUUAGCAACAUGCUAACACCAGCCGCUGUUAAUCCAUUUAUGUUGGGUUAAGAGAAAGGUAAGAAAUCUUGAUGAUAAAUCUGCUUAUUCAUUCAGUGGCAAAAAAUAAUGAUAAAAUAGUUCAGCCUAAUUAAAAAAAAUGAUUUACUUAUUAUAUAUGGGUGGUGUGAAUUUGUAUGCAUAUUAGAGUAUCAUGUUGUUAUCUUAGCAAAAUGAAAUCCUUUUGCAGUUGAUGGAAAAUAUGUCAGAAAUCUUAAUUAUAAAUAUAUUUAUUCAUUCAGUAGUUAAAAUUAUUGAUAAAAUAUUUCAUAUCGGUUGUUUAAUCUAAUUAAAAAACAGUUUUCCCAAUAUUUUUUUUUUGUGCUGUGUAAUUGUAUUGAUGUGUCAUUACCUUAGAAUAAUCAUAACACCAUCCAUUGUGUCGUAUUGAGUCGUAAUAAUAAAUAUACUUGUAAUUACAACUUUUUUACAAACUUUACCAAGAGUUACGACUUGUACCAUGUGACCACUGCAGAAUCACUGAGGAGAUUAAUUACUCCAAGUAGAAGGUUGUGUGUUGUCAUCUCAAAAUUACAGAAAUUAUGACAUGGCGGCAAUUGUUCGAUAUAAUUAGAAAAAAAAUAGAGUAUAGUGUUAUUAGCUUAGCGAGUUUCUAUAGAGUGAUCCGCGACUUUUGUUGUUCUACAACAGUUAGGAUGUAUGGAAGCACCUAUGUAGGCAGUAGACAGCAAGGCAUCUCACUAGGUUUCUGGAACAAGGCCACUGUCUGCAAUGUGUCCUGUUGUACAUUCAGUUCUACCAUCUCUGGAAUUUGUUUCACUGACAGACAGGCAUGUUUAUCUUGGCUUGUAAUAGGUAACCAGUUAAAGGCUCCUUCCCUGACAGAUAUUUAUUUUCUGUCUUUCGCAUCUAUAAUUCUUGUUAUUUGUGAUUCUGAAAUGCAACAACAAGGAAUGAGGGAGUUACACCAGCUGUUUAUAAGCUGCAGGCCUUUUCAUUCAAGCCAAAAAAGCAUUAGCCUACCCCCUCCAGAUUUAUGACUGAGGUCUUUUGUAAAACUAACAGGCAAAUGAUUGGGAAACCUAUUAGUUUUGUUGUUGAAAGGGAGUCACUUAUCAUUCUGUGGUGAUUCUUGUUGGGCAGCUUGUGCCCUUUUUUAUUCGUUCUCUC